GAGAGGGCGCGAGCCCCAAAGCAAGCGACAUGUCCCUGUGGGGAGCAGAGCCUCUGCACCCCAGAGUGAGGAGGACGCCGGGGUCAGAGGUGGCUGCAAGGCGGGCAGAGGAGGGCCCUGCGAAGGGGGGUGGGCUCGUGGCCCCGAAGCAAUCAGGAAGGGAGGCCGGCUGGUGACAGGAGAGCCCGGAGGCCCGUGGGGCUGCGUGGACAGCCCGGAAGAUCACAGCCAUGCCUCACAGCUCCGACAGCAGCGACUCCAGCUUCAGCCGCUCUCCACCCCCCAGCAAACAGGUAGGGUCCUGCCUCCCGCUCCUCCUCCCCUCCGAUUCUCCCCGGAGGACAGAGGGAGAGGCGAGGGGAUGGCUGGUGGCAGGAGCACUCUCUGAGACUUAAGACACGGAGAUCUGCCCUGAAGCUGUGCAUCUCAUCUCGGCAGAGACCCUCGUCCUUCUGCCUCUCCUGCCAAAUGAUGCCCCCCCUCCCCGCCCCGUUCCCCCGCCAAAGCCCAUCGCCUCCACCUCGCUAGCUUCCCAGCCCAUGAAGCUUUCUAGGAAGCCAGGAGGAAGAGAAUGAGCGCCAAAGACCUGGCCUCUCAGAAGAGUCUACCUCUCUCCAAGGCAGUAGCAGAGUGAGAGGAGGAGCGUUAAACGCGGGCUGCGGGGCGCGCACACCGCGAAUGCUAGAUGGUUGCCUGGGAGACAGCCUGCAGGGUGAGAGAGGAAGGGAUCGGGAAAAGGAACAAGAAAGAAAAGCGAUUCCCACCCCUCCUCCCCUCCACCUCCAGGAGGAGGGCGGCCCCCCGAACCAGCACAGAAGGAUCUAUCUUUUCCACCCUGCACGGCACCUGUUGCUAGCGCAGGCGGCAGAGAGGGCGCCAGGGGAGGGGGAGGAAAUGAAUCAAGAGAUGCUUCAGGGCACUUGGAGCCGUUCCCUGGUAGCUCAGCUCAGCUCUGGGGAAAGCAGAGAGAUGAAGGUGGAGAUUCCGGGAGCGUCUGGAGUCUAGAUGGCAACUUCUAACUCAGAAGUUUUCAGCUUGGAAUUUGCCAAAGAACCAGGGCGUCCUGGCUUCCCGGUUGCUCCUGGGGCUUUCUGUUCACCACAUUCCUUGACAGUCCUCCCUAGAGGAAGCCCUCUUCUUUCCCAUCCAAUACAUCAGUGGAGUAUAAUUUCUUCUCUGACUUUGUGGUUUGAAAACUGCAUUCUUUCCUUAGCACAGAUAUCCAAGAGAGCUUUCAAAAUGCUGCAGCCUGAAUAAAAGUAUAUGAACAUAUACUGCAGCUUCUGUCAUCAAUAUCUUGAGAAGCCACCUGCAGGAAGGAGUCCUAGUGGAGACCUCUAGAGGACAAGCGAUCCAGUCCUCUGCUCUAGAUGCUAUCAGAGCUGUUCAGACUGCCUGGAAGUCUAUGCUCUUCUUAGGAAGGAAAUUACUCAUGGCUUCCAUGGUAACCUGGUUCCCCAUCCCCCUUAGAGGAAGAGCACUUCCUUCCUAUCUACCCAAUGCCCUCCAACUGCAAUGGCCUGGAAGUACUGGGCCUAUUGGUGAGACAUAUGCUUGGUGGGCAGAGUCUUGCCCUAGCAGUGCCGCUCUGGUCUUGGGGAACGUGAGCGGGGAUGGGGCAGGAGGUGCAGAAGUUUCACACAGACCCCUACACUUAUCCUGCAGCAUCUGGGAGAAAGCCAGAGCUAACCUCUCUGCCCAAGCAAAGCACAUGCCCCUCUAUGGGGUGCACUUAGAAAACACCCAAAGGUCCCCUUGUCCUCCUAAACACCCAUCCGCUACCUGCCACGGCCAGGUAAUCUCCACCAGCAAAGCUGUUCAUGGCCUCCAGUUUGUACCAGGCACUGUGCUCAGCGCCAUGGGCGAUAUCGGGGUCCCUGGACAUAAUGGAGGGGAUUCGGAGAAAGAAGAGGCAGAUCUAGGAUGGGGACCUCAGCCCAGGGAUGCAGCAGAAGACACAUGAUGUACAAAUCAGCGAGAUGGUGGUAGCUGGAGUUGCGGGGGGUGGCUUGGACAGGCCUCAGACUCAGCAUUGGAGGCUCUAACUACCAGAUGACUGUGAACUCUUGGGCAAGCUCUUUGAGCCUCAGUCUCCGGCACAUAUAAGAUGGAAAUAAUCAUAUCAACUUCACAGAAUUGGGGGAUUGAACAAGAGCACCUUUGAGCAAACACACUUGCCCUGAAGCUGGCACAUAGUAAGUACUCAACAAAGUUUUGGGGGAAAAAAAUAGCAAAAGGGUUCUAGGCCAAAAGUGAGAGGGUAAGGGUGGAGCAGCCCUGAAGAGGAGAGGUGAUAAAACACACUUCAUCGCCUUAACCAUCUCUCUCCAAAUAGCCCUAUAGAGGUGUCAAACUCUUUUGCCCUCUUCCUGUAAGUUUUGGCCAAAAAAGUUAUAGAGACUUAAGAGAGUGUAACAGAGUGUGGGGAAGCAUUCUCUCUGGGGUUCACCCUUUUGGUAAAUAAAUAGUGCGCAAAGAUAGAGGAAGAGAUGGAAGGGAGAAUGGCCAGAGAGCAAGCCCUGUGAGAUCCUGCUUCAGCUCUGGAGAGAGGAGGUAACACCUAAUUCUCAUCGUCUCUGCUUCCCAGGACUCAUCCGAUGAUGUGAGAAAAGUUCAGAGAAGGGAGAAAAAUCGCAUUGCUGCCCAGAAAAGCCGGCAGAGGCAGACACAGAAAGCUGACACCCUCCAUCUGGAGAGUGAAGACCUGGAGAAACAGAACGCGGCGCUGCGGAAGGAGAUCAAGCAGCUCACAGAGGAGAUGAAGUACUUCACAUCGGUGCUGAGCAGCCACGAGCCCCUGUGUUCCGUGCUGGCCGCCGGCGCGCCCUCGCCCCCCGAGGUGGUGUACAGCGCCCAUGCCUUCCACCAGCCGCACGUCAGCUCCCCGCGCUUCCAACCCUGAGCUCCCCGAGAGGCAGGGCUGGCAGAGCCCCCACCCCAGCUGCUCCCAGGCCUCAGGAGGGGCACACAGACUGUGGCCCGGCGGCGGCCCUUGUCCCUCAGCGUCCUCUCCCCGCCUGGAGACCCGAAGCCCGACGCCUUGGACCAGGAUUGAACACAGGACGUGGCACCUGGAAGCAUGUGUGGCCGCAGGGCAGUGUGUUGCCUGCUGGGAGGCCUGGGCUGGACCUUGGUGGGGUGGGAGGCCCCGUCCAGGGGGAAAGGAGGGCGGGGUUAUUUUUCUCUAUAAAAGUCUGAAAA
rnacentral:lncRNA from 9 species